ANNUGAUGCAGCCAUGCCGCGUGAGUGAUGAAGGCCUUAGGGUUGUAAAGCUCUUUCACCGGGGAAGAUAAUGACUGUACCUAUGAAGGAAGCCCCGGCUAUCUUCGUGCCACCACCCCCGGUAAUA
rnacentral:rRNA from 1 species